rnacentral:piRNA from 1 species
UGAGGUUAUUGGCUCCUUAAUCUACAUGC